GCGGGAAAGAUGCUUUUUGCUGUCAUGACUUGAAAGGGCCAUUACGAAGUGAAAUUUCUUCCUGGGUUGCCAUCUGCUGGCACUGCCUUUAACUGCUGCUAUGGGAAGGGAGCUGAGGAGGCCACUUGUGAAGAGGGAAGGUAUAUUGGUAAUCCCAAGGUACAGUUGGAUUCUGGUGUGCAAAGCCUCAUGUGUGAUGACUGCRUAACGGGAGUCCUGACCAGCCUAGUGCCUCAGGAGCCUGGAGCCAGGCUCAGGAUACAAAUGAAUUGGAAGAAUUCUCUGAAAACAAAACAGCAGCACAAGAACAUUCCCUUUCCUGGAGAGUGUAAAAACCUUUGUGAGCUGCCUCCACCGCAGCUGCUGAGGAGGUGAGCAAGCUGAAUGCCAAUUACUUGGGCUGUGUAGCUGAGCUGCAC